CUUUCUUCCACACUUGCUGCCAUAUUGUUACUCAACAAGAAGCCGCCUUCUUAUCUGCAGCAUUUAGCCUCAAGUUUGACGGCCAAGCCGCAUCGAAUUUCACUUCAAAGUUCGAUCACACCAGCAAACAAUUCCGAUGACUAUUUCAUUGUCCUUCCCAGGAUGAGAGCCAAUGUAGCAAAUCUCAAAUAUAUAAUUUAUUCAGGUAGACGUCAACUGGUAAUUUGAUAAAUAU
rnacentral:misc_RNA from 1 species